GCGCUGCUAGUAUAGUGGUUAGUAUACUCCUCAUUUAAUAACUAAAUGUGGGUAUAACAGGUUGCCAACUUGGUGACCCGGGUUCGAUUCCCGGGCGGCGCA
rnacentral:tRNA from 1 species